CAUUCCACAAGAGCGACUGGCAGCCGGACCCGAGGCUAUCUGAACUGCCCGGCCGAAAACAAGGACAAAAAUGACCUUCAGGACCUGUGUUGUUUUAAGCCAUUUCUCAGAAUGCUUAAAGGAAUCGCUUCAGCUACCGAACUCAGCAGCGAUUUCUAAGAAAAAGGCGAAUUAUUAACUCCGACGCUCUUCACCCACAUCCUCAAGAGUCGCGCUGAAAAAUCACAGCAGCCUUUCGGAGAACUCCUCGGUGGCCUCGUUAUUAAAAAA